rnacentral:rRNA from 1 species
CAGCCGCCGCGGGAAUACGAAGGGGGCUAGCGUUGCUCGGAAUGACUGGGCGUAAAGGGCGCGUAGGCGGCACAUACAGUCAGAUGUGAAAUUCCUGGGCUUAACCUGGGGGCUGCAUUUGAUACGUAUGAGCUAGAGUGGGGAAGAGGGUUGUGGAAUUCCCAGUGUAGAGGUGAAAUUCGUAGAUAUUGGGAAGAACACCGGUGGCGAAGGCGGCAACCUGGUCCUUGACUGACGCUGAGGCGCGAAAGCGUGGGGAGCAAACAGGAUUAGAUACCCCCGUAGUCCCUGUCUCUUAUAC